CAGCAGCCGCGGGAAUACGAAGGGGGCUAGCAUUGCUCGGAAUGACUGGGCGUAAAGGGCGCGUAGGCGGAUAGUACAGUCAGAUGUGAAAUUCCCGGGCUUAACCUGGGGGCUGCAUUUGAUACGUGCUGUCUAGAGUGAGGAAGAGGGUUGUGGAAUUCCCAGUGUAGAGGUGAAAUUCGUAGAUACUGGGAAGAACACCGGUGGCGAAGGCGGCAACCUGGUCCUUGACUGACGCUGAGGCGCGAAAGCGUGGGGAGCAAACAGGAUUAGAUACCCGCGUAGUCCCUGUCUCUUAUAC
rnacentral:rRNA from 1 species